GAAUGAGCUUCUAGAGAGCUACCAAGACAGUCACUACUUCAUCAUCAGUAAAAGCUGUUUACUUCCGAUGUGUAAUAAACCCACGUGACCAUUUGGGGGCGCCAGAGUCCAGCACAGGCCGGCCGAGCCCGCGUUCUUCCCGGGGAAUGCAACAGCUGAUUCACCUGCUCCACGCUGAUUAAUAAUCAAACUACCAUUGUGUGGGGCCUAUCUUCCUACUGGACCUCAAAACCCACCUACUCCACAAGUUUAUCUUCACAAUUAUGAGCUACCUGCUUCACGUCACACUACAGCACCUAAAAGCAAAUAAUAAAGUUUAUUCUUGAGUUAACCUGCCUCUGUGUUCAGCCAAUCCCUCCUGCACGUGAGUGAUGCACCUGGAUGCUGCAUAAGGAGAGAUGGAAAUACCUAAGGUGUGGUCCUUACUUCCAAGGGGCUUAUAGCAGAACGAAGACUCGAAAGCAAGCACACCCACAACCACAACACAGCCGCUGGCACACACAGCAGGAAAGACACCGGGUUUAAUGGAGCAGAGAAAGGGGGCGUCAUCUCCAGGCACAGCUCCAUGAAGAAGAUGACAUUGACCUGGGAGCUCUGAGCCUUCAUAUAAUGAGUAAGCUUUCAGCUGGAAGAAAUCCCAAGUGGAGAAACAGGAAGCUAUAAAAGAGCAAUGGUUUUGGAUUCACAAAACCUGCCUGAGUGAACCUGGUUGCCAUUCUAGCACAGAGAUCCUGUCUCAAAAAAAAAAAAAAAAGAGGCCUGAGAGAACGUGUUUAUGUCUUUUCCCAUGUGAAGACACAGCUAGAAAGCACCAUCCUUGAAACUGAGAGCAAGCCCUCAUCAGUCAGUGAAUCUGCUGAUGCCAUGUUCUUGGAAUUCCCAGCUUCCAGAACUGUGAGCAAUAAAUGUACAUAGAUUGCAAAUUA
rnacentral:lncRNA from 1 species